GUUGGAUUUCUGUUAAUAAUUUAUAUAAAAUAUUUUGAUGAAUAUUUAUAUAAUAUUAACAUAAUUCAUAUUACUAUAUAUUUUAGUAUAUGAAAUUUUACUUUGAGAAAAUUAGAGUGCUUAAAGCAGGCAUAUGCCUUGAAUACUCCAGCAUGGAAUAAUAUUAAAGAUUUUUAUCUUUCUUAUUGGUUCUAAGAUAAGAAUAAUGAUUAAUAGGGACAGUUGGGGGCAUUUGUAUUUAACAGUCAGAGGUGAAAUUCUUAGAUUUGUUAAAGACAAACUAAUGCGAAAGCAUUUGCCAAGGAUGUUUUCAUUAAUCAAGAACGAAAGUUAGGGGAUCGAAGACGAUCAGAUACCGUCGUAGUCUUAACCAUAAACUAUGCCAACUAGAGAUUGGAGGUUGUUCCUUACUCCUUCAGCACCUUAA
rnacentral:rRNA from 1 species